AGGACGAACGCUGGCGGCGUGCUUAACACAUGCAAGUCGAACGGGGCCUUUCGGGGCCUAGUGGCGAACGGGUGAGUAACACGUGAGCAACCUGCCCUUGGCUCUGGGAUAGCCUCCGGAAACGGGGAUUAAUACCGGACAUUCACUUCCUUCCGCAUGGUUGGGGGUGGAAAGUUUUUCGGCCGGGGAUGGGCUCGCGGCCUAUCAGCUUGUUGGGGGGGUAACGGCCCACCAAGGCGACGACGGGUAGCC
rnacentral:rRNA from 1 species